GAUUUCCUUCCAGCCGGCGAGGUACAUGCCUCGUCGACUGGAAGGAUUUCCUUCCAGCCGGCGAGGUACAUGUACCUCGUCGGCCGGAAGAAACCCCUUCCAGUCGACGAGGUACAUGUACCUCGUCGACUGGAAGGAAAUC
rnacentral:miRNA from 1 species